rnacentral:rRNA from 1 species
UAGGGAAUCUUCCGCAAUGGGCGAAAGCUUGACGGAGCAACGCCGCGUGAGUGAUGAAGGUCUUCGGAUCGUAAAACUCUGUUAUUAGGGAAGAACAAAUGUGUAAGUAACUAUGCACGUCUUGACGGUACCUAAUCAGAAAGCCACGGCUAACUACGUGCCAGCAGCCGCGGUAAUACGUAGGUGGCAAGCGUUAUCCGGAAUUACUGGGCGUAAAGCGCGCGUAGGCGGUUUUUUAAGUCUGAUGUGAAAGCCCACGGCUCAACCGUGGAGGGUCAUUGGAAACUGGAAAACUUGAGUGCAGAAGAGGAAAGUGGAAUUCCAUGUGUAGCGGUGAAAUGCGCAGAGAUAUGGAGGAACACCAGUGGCGAAGGCGACUUUCUGGCCUGUAACUGACGCUGAUGUGCGAAAGCGUGGGGAUCAAACAGG